UGCAGGAGGAUACAGGGAAAGUUGAACUGGAUCCUACAGGGAGGAAGAAGGAGGCGUCUGAGUCGCAGGGGAAGUGGGAAAAAGGGAGCCCAGAAGAGCAAGAAGAAGAGCGCACUCCCACCCCGUCAUUACCAAGCAGCUCCCAUAUGACGAUGACCCCCGGGGAGCAGCUUUCCUCAGCCCAGCUCCAAGCCCUGCUGAUGAAAGCCGUGAAGGGUCUGACAACACCCACCCUGGAGCGAUUUCAAGCUGCAGAGGAAGAGCUGAGGACCAUCGUAUCUCUACACGGAGACAAGAUGGAGAGAGUAAGAGACUCCAGCCGUGGGGCAGGGAGAUGCUCCCCAGAGAGGGAGAGGGGAGAAUUUCCUCUCCUAGGAAACCAUUCCUGGGACACACGGACAUGGUGCUUUGAAGGUUGGCUCAGCCCCUUUCCCUUCAUCACUUGGCCGCGGGGAUCCGUGGCGUCAGGUGUUUAAGGUAUUCUCUGCCCGCUGGAGCUCUGACACGUCCCUGAGGACAGCCCAGCCUCACUGAAGGGGAGCGAUAGCCCCAGCUCUGGCAGCGCAGCACUUACCUAGUCUGCCCAUAGGCCUCCACAUUAGGCUCCAGGAGCAGACAUGGUUUCCUCAGACAUGCUGCGGGGCCUUG